UAGCACACCGAAAAAAUCUCGUGAGCCCAAACCAACGCAAAAACUGGGAAAGAACCCACGUCCUCCACCUUCUCCCACGACCAAUCUCCAUCUACAGAUCUCCCUCUCCCAAACCGACACCCCCCCAAUGGCGGCCCCUCUCUCCCGCAGCAAGCACCGCACCGGCCGCGACACCUGUGGAACACCUACCAUCUCCUCCUCCUCUCAUUGCCCUACCUCGCAGCCCGGUGUCGCCUGUCCGCACCCCCAGCAGCUGCAAGAUUGGAUCGCCAUCCCGCCGCACGAGCCAUACGCGUUGCUGCGGCCAGCCACCACCCGAGUCCGCUGCAUAUUCGCAGGCACAGUCGUCUCCCUUUGGUUGACUCCUUCAGUCGUCCGUCUACCCUGACACAGCCACCCGCUGGGCCGAGCGAGAUUGUCAUGACGCUUUGGAUCGGAGGCAUGCAGUAUUGGAUGGAGGAUAUAUAACUACAUCUACAGUUGAUCCGUGAGCAAGGGCGAGGUAUGUGUAUCUCGUUCUCUUCUCUGCACCUAAUAUUUAAAUGUCUGAUUGAGUGUUAGCUUAAUAGCCUCCGGCCCGUGACAACCAACAUCAAUGAAAAAAAGAUGGCAUUAGCCCAUUGCUUGAUGAAGAAGAUGAGAGUAGGGAAGAAGAAGAUGAUGAUGAUGAGGUGGUGGAGAAGAGUGGUGGUGGGCACAUCCUCACUUGUACGCAUAUUCACUCAUAGGGCGACCUUGUUGCUACAUCAUUGCGUGGAUCCCAGCCACGCCCUACUCAAUCUGUGUCUUCACUGACCUCUCUACCUACAAGGUUUCUGAUGAGGUGGAGGAGAGCUAUUUUUUUCUUGGAUUAUGCAAAUAUGAAUAUGUUGUAAAGCAAUCAUGGUGCCUCUGUAUAUUUAUUUGAAAUUCCAGUUUAAUCGAAUCCAUUUAUUUUAUUAGCAUCCAUGUAGUUCACUGCUAGAGUUUGCACAUUUAAUCUCUAUUAAAUACUACAGUUUCUUGAUUUUGAAUCUUAUAAAGUGGUUCAUAUCAGUACUGAUAUUGACUAGGUGGAAAGUUUCUGUGAUCUAAUGUGGAUCUCUGUUCUGAUUAUCUGUGAAAAGUAUUCUUGCUCCAAUAAGGACCAACAUUGUGAUUUUAGGUGAAAAGAUUUCUUCCGUUUUUUUUUUCAUUAGUACUGAAACUGAAAUUUUGCUCUUUUUUUAUGUCCUCUAGCAGCGCUGAACAGGAAAACCUCCCGGCCACCAUUAGGGAGCUCUUGGUUGCACCACAAGCUGCAAGGCCUUGUCAAAUCACUCAUGUCGCUUAACGGCUAUGGCCUCUCGCUGGUCAAGAUGGAUCAUUUUGUGCAAGUUGGCCUCGCCCACUUGUAUCCUACUACUACAUUUGGACAAUGACAUUCAGUUCUAGCAAAACUAUUGUAAAGUUGCACGCAUAACUCAAAAUCUUGGACCAUGAACAUCAUCCAAUGACAGAGCCCACGGACAUGCCUUUUCCUUGGUGCGGGCAAGGCACGCAUAACUCCAGGUCACUGUCAGGCCUGAGGAAGUGCAUACUGAAAAAGACGAGGAGCAGAUGGGGUAGACCAAUGUGUUUUCGAUGUCAGAAUCAGAAUGCUAUGAGAGUUGUACAUGUGCUUUCGUGGGCCAUGGGUGUGUGUGCUUGUGGAGCGUGUGGGUUAUUUAAAGGCAUUGAUGAUGAAAUAUAAUUUUGAAUCCCAUCCACCCCAUAUCCGAACUCAACAAAAAAAGAAAGAUAAGGUUGCUAAUCUUCUUUGGGGUUGAUUUGGUGUAAGAUCCUGAUCCGCCUUUGGUUGAUUUGGAGGAAGGCUGAGACAACUCCAUUCAAACCCAGUACACAUAAUAGGCUUCUUGUAGUACACAUAGAAAGCAUCUGUGAGUGGCUGAUGGACAUCAUCAUGGUGCUCUUCUCACCGAAGCUGGCAAUCAUUGAGCAAGUAAACAGGAACUCAGGGCGGGCAGCACUUGAAUCACAACUUAUUGAUACAAUUAUUGAUCAAAUUUGUGCCAAGUCAGUGCCAAUCUUUACAGACAAUGAAA